rnacentral:rRNA from 1 species
AGGAUUCCCCUAGUAACUGCGAGUGAAGCGGGAAAAGCUCAAAUUUAAAAUCUGGCAGCCUUUGGCUGUCCGAGUUGUAAUUUAGAGAAGCACUGCCUGCGCUGGACUGUGUACAAGUCUCCUGGAAUGGAGCGUCAUAGAGGGUGAGAAUCCCGUAUAUGACACAGUUGCCAGGGCUUAGUGGCCUGCUCUCCAAGAGUCGAGUUGUUUGGGAAUGCAGCUCAAAAUGGGUGGUAAAUUCCAUCUAAAGCUAAAUACAGGCGAGAAACCGAUAGCGAACAAGUACCGUGAGGGAAAGAUGAAAAGAACUUUGGAAAGAGAGUUAAACAGUACGUGAAAUUGUUGAAAGGGAAACGCUUGAAGUCAGUCGCAUUGCUGGAAAUCACACUUGCUUUUUUCAUUGCUUGUGGCUCUUUCCUAGUAAUGGGUCAGCAUCAGUUUUGAUUGUUGGACAAGGGUCAGAGGAAUGUGGCAUCCUUGGAUGUGUUAUAGCCUCUGAUCAUAUGCAAUGAUGGAGACUGAGGAACUCGGCACUUUUGUGCUUAGGAUGCUGGCAUAAUGGCUUUAAUCGACCCGUCUUGAACCACGGACCAA